CACUAGUGGGUUUAGGCUCAGAUUUACCAGGAUAUACUGAAUUGCAGGACAUGUGAAACGAUGACAAGGAGAUCCAGCAAAGCCUGAUAAUGAGAGACUGGAAGAGCCAAGCUCUGCUCCUGCUGUCUAUUUGAUCUGUUCAACUCACCAUAAAUUCUGUUGCAGACUGCAUGGGUAAAAAGCUACAGGAGCAUGAAAAAUCCAGAUAUGUACAAAUCCAAGCAUGAGUAUGCACACUGCACUUCUGAUGGCGAUAAAAGGAAAAAUCAGCUGUGAAAGAAAAUUGCAUAAGGUGAAGAGGCCUCUUGGGAGGAAAAACAUCAGCAACACUGACCCUUCUCCUCCACUCCAGAUCACUGGAUAUUCUGAGGAGGAAGGAACCCACUAGGAUCAUCAAGCCCAGCUCUAAAGUGAAUGGCUCAUAUGAGAAUUAAAUCUACAAACCUUGGUGUUAUGAGCCUUGUGCUCUGUCCAACUGAGCAAAUCUCAGGGUCAUUCACUUGGUCACUGCGGCAAACCAUCCCAAAAAAUGUCAGCUGUCUCAGAGGUUGAAUUCUCUCCAGCACCAAGAAAAGCAGAGCACAGAGAAAAGGCAAAAAGAAGUUCUCAUCGGAAAAAACAGCCUGCUUUUCUGUAAGAAAACAUCUUCCUUAAUGGGAAAAAAAAAGGUGAUACUGGAGCGAUCAAGUAUUUUCAAGAACAUAUUGGAUUUUCUUCUACAAUAAAGAAUGCAUCAUUUUGGAAAUGGAAAGUUGUAUCUGUCAGCCUCCUGGCUAGGAAAUGUCAUAUUAAUCCUAACUUCAUAUGGACACUGUGACAGUGACUCCACCCUUAAUAAACCAUUUAGUGUCUGUUCAGUUUAGUAAAGAACCCUCAGACUCUCAUUCCACUGUGAUGCAGCUUUAGCUAAUAAAUCAGUCAGAGAAUCCUUUUCCUCUCUGCCCUCCCUUCACCACAUUAAUAUUGAUUAUUUGGAGGUAAGGAGUCCCAAGGAGUGGAAGUGGAUACGCCUCAUUGCCUCGAACAAUUCUUUUCCCUCUAUUGGGACAGUACAAGGUAAAUUAAUAGUGUGCUUGCAGACACUAGAUAAUGUUAAUGUACUCGCUAUUGAUAGAGUGAAAUAACAUGCGUAACUUCAGCUUUGCUUAAAACAAAACAUUAAUUUUCCAAGGCCACUAGGAUUUAUGCAGCUAGUCCGUGUAACACAUACAAUCUUUGCUUUUAAAUAUGCAACAUUUGCGUUUUUAAACACAAGGAAGGAUUUUAUUGCCAGAUGAAAGACAAAAGGGGAUUUUAAUUCAUUGCUUAUGCUCUCAGGCUCUUGUCUGCCUUUAAUCUAAGUCCCCACUCGAUUUUAUGGGUAAGAAGAUGCCUUUUCUACAAGGAAAUAAUACAGAGCAGUCUUAUCCCCCUGUGAUCCUCUGGCUAUGUAAAAAUGCAUAGAAAAUCUGUAAGUUUAAAAUCUGUACUUUCAUAUAUGUUUCAAAAAAAGUAAAGUCAACUUUCUUAUUUCA